rnacentral:lncRNA from 1 species
AUGGUGGGAGGUAGAUUCCCACUGGUGUCAGUGGGCAUGGCCAGGAACGUGCUGGCCAUGCCCUGUGCAGAGCUGAGAACACACAUUCAUCUGUGUCCCCAAUGUCCUGUCACUGCACAAGAAGUUUGCGGCCACCAGCAUUGCUGUGACUGGUUUAGGGACACCAACCACAGGGAAUUUGUUUCUGUUUUAGUACAAACCUUUUUCCAAGGAGAUACAGACCCAGCCAUACCGUGCCCUGGAAGUGCUUCUUGGACUAGACUACGGCACCCCUGCGGAUAUCUGGAGUACAGCCUGCCUGGCAUUUGAAAUGGCAACUGGGGAGUGUCUAUUUGAUCCUCAACCCGGGAAAUACUUCUCCAGAGAUGAUGGUAGGACUCCAUGAGUUUUAUUCAUUUCACUGACAGAAGUGUUACAGUCUGUAUCUAAAUCUGUCUUCCCUCCCUCCAUCUAGAUCAUGUUGCUCGUAUUAUUGAACUCUUGGGAAGAAUUCCUCCUCAAAUCCUUUUCUCAUGGAACAAGUCAACAAAUUUUUUCAGCAGGCCAGGUAAGAACUGGCAGAAGGAAGUUUAUUUUAAAAAUCACUGCAGAUCUGACACACUCCUACUCAGCUCAUGCUGAACUCCCCCAAAAGUUACUCACACAAUGCAGGCUACAAGCAGGGAUGGAACACAAAUGGAAAUUUCAUAAAGAGCAGUAACACUCCCUGCCUUGCCUAUCCUUGCAGUCCGUGAGCAUUCCAAGGAUGAAUGCAAAAUCCUGAAAGAUGGUUAUAGCAAAUGCCUAACAGGGAAAGCAUUUCCAUUCUUUCUCCUCUGGAUUUGGAGAAAAUGGAAAUACAGACAGGAAACAGCUCCAUGCCAGGAAGGCUGAGGAGUUUGUAACAGGCUGAAUUUCACCCAUUCGCUGGCAGAAAACAAUGAUGACCAGGAAUGGGGCACUCAUAUCCUUCCAAUGAGGCUGCUAUAUUUAGUCUUCUGACCCAACUGUAACAUCUCUUCUGUUUUAUUCUCCCCAGUUCCUUUCCCUUUGACUCAUGAGUCUUGAAACCCUUCUUUGACCACAAGGCAUCACAUGACUCCACCCUUCUGCAAUCUGGCCUAUCAUCCUUCUCUGCUCCCAUGCUUACCUACCCACCCACAGUUCAUUCAGUGCUUAGUACUGGUCCCAUGCUGGAAUGAAUUUAACAAGCACCUCCCUGCACACCCACAUCCUUUGCUCGCACUUACGUCUUCUAAGGUGUUUAAAAGAAAUGAGUCAAAAUUAGUUCUACAUUCACUCUCCCUGUGAACCAACCUGGCCUGACCAU